GCCCGCAUGGCGCAGUGGCGUGUGUCUGGCAUCCCCUUUUUAAGGGCGCUGGUUCGAUUCCAGCUGCGGGCA
rnacentral:tRNA from 1 species